rnacentral:rRNA from 1 species
GAUGAACGCUGGCGGCGUGCCUAAUACAUGCAAGUCGAGCGAACAGACGAGGAGCUUGCUCCUCUGACGUUAGCGGCGGACGGGUGAGUAACACGUGGAUAACCUACCUAUAAGACUGGGAUAACUUCGGGAAACCGGAGCUAAUACCGGAUAAUAUAUUGAACCGCAUGGUUCAAUAGUGAAAGACGGUUUUGCUGUCACUUAUAGAUGGAUCCGCGCCGCAUUAGCUAGUUGGUAAGGUCACGGCUUACCAAGGCGACGAUGCGUAGCCGACCUGAGAGGGUGAUCGGCCACACUGGAACUGAGACACGGUCCAGACUCCUACGGGAGGCAGCAGUAGGGAAUCUUCCGCAAUGGGCGAAAGCCUGACGGAGCAACGCCGCGUGAGUGAUGAAGGUCUUCGGAUCGUAAAACUCUGUUAUUAGGGAAGAACAAAUGUGUAAGUAACUAUGCACGUCUUGACGGUACCUAAUCAGAAAGCCACGGCUAACUACGUG